CAGUGAUGGAAAGAUGAAAAGAACUUUGAAAAGAGAGUGAAAAAGUACGUGAAAUUGUUGAAAGGGAAGGGCUUGAGAUCAGACUUGGUAUUUUGCAAGUUACUCUUUCGGGGGUGGCCUCUGCGGUUUACCGGGCCAGCAUCGGUUUGGAGCGGUAGGAUAAUGGCGGGGGAAUGUGGCACGACUUUGGUUGUGUGUUAUAGCCUCUGACGAUACUGCCAGCCUAGACCGAGGACUGCGGUUUUUACCUAGGAUGUUGGCAUAAUGAUCUUAAGUCGC
rnacentral:rRNA from 1 species